UAUCGACCGGCCUAGCGGACCUUUGCCAAGACGAUAGAUAUAUUCUUUUAGGAGAAAAAAAUG
rnacentral:ncRNA from 1 species